GGGGCGGAGUGAGAGGGAAAGAGAGAAGUAUGAGGUACCUGUAAGGACUGUCCUGUACCUCAGAGGGAGAGUUGUGAGGUACCUGGUGUAAGCGAGGAAGAAAGAGAGAGGUGUACCUCCGUGUGCAAGGACUGAGACCCCCACUUCAAGCAUAUCCAGACGCUGUUAUACCGCUGGGUGCGUCUUCAGAUGCCCCCAUUGGCCGCACCACCGACGACACCUGCACCAGCGUCAAGAAAAAAUGCUCUUUUUGAAUCCGUACCGGUUAUUCUGCUCUCUCUCCAGCAGCUGGCUCCGGAAUGUUCAAUUGAUGUAUACUGUAUAUAGUGGCGAUCACACUGAAAUAAUUCCAAAUUAAGGAGAACAUAUUCAAGGGCUUCUUCAUCCAAAACCUACCUUACUCCAUAGUUGGAAGGUUCACCACAGAGGAAAAUCUCAACAUACCAAGGUGAAAGAUCUGGACCAGUUAAGCCAAUACCAAUCUCCCAAGUCCACGUUUGUCACACCUUGACCACACCUAUUUACGGAAAUGGACCAAUCUCUGAUGGUCAUAGAAAUUGUGACUAUUUAAGGGAAGGAUGGGAGGGAGAAGCUGUGGUUGCUAUGCAGAAGAUCCGACAUAACAACCCAACAAUAACUUCUAAAACACCACAUUCGGGUAACCUACCGUAUUAUACUGUCUGCAUUAGUUUCAGAUCACUAUUGCUGGUCAUAAAAUGGAUGUUAAUAUACAAGAAGGAACCACUAUGAGGGGGAAAAGGACUAGCCGGAAGUGCGGUCCACAGCAUCCAAUCAGAUUCCAGCUAUCCUCUUAUAGAAUGUGGUAGAUACAUGAUAGCUACAAUUGGAUUGGUUGCUACGAGCAUCACAUCCACUUGUCCUCUUUAGGUUUGUUAAAUCUCCCCCUAAAAGUCCUAAAAAUAUCCAAAAACGUAUUUGUUUUCUUAAAUACCCAUCUCACAUUACAUAAAAUGUAAUUAUAUUUAAAACUCCUUUAAUAAAUUCAAUGUAAUUAAGAUAAAAGGGAGCUGGAAAUAAAUGGUCAGCAUUCCAGGCUGAUGUGAAACGAGCAGACUGCUGUGUAUCAUUCAUUCUGUGUAACAAUGAAAUAUGGAGACUUCUCUUUCCCUUCAGCGCUUUGUAAUGUAGUUUGUAUCUGACACGCAGUGCUUAAUGCAGAGUUUGCUCUGAGUCUUUGGCCGCAUUACGUAGCCUGACAUUUUAGCUUUAAUUACCCACCGAUCAAAUACCAGAAAGUAAAAAAAAAUAAAGUCAACGUUAUAUUAUU